rnacentral:rRNA from 1 species
GAUGAACGCUGGCGGCGUGCCUAAUACAUGCAAGUCGAGCGAACGGACGAGAAGCUUGCUUUUCUGAUGUUAGCGGCGGACGGGUGAGUAACACGUGGAUAACCUACCUAUAAGACUGGGAUAACUUCGGGAAACCGGAGCUAAUACCGGAUAAUAUUUUGAACCGCAUGGUUCAAAAGUGAAAGACGGUCUUGCUGUCACUUAUAGAUGGAUCCGCACUGCAUUAGCUAGUUGGCAAGGUAACGGCUUACCAAGGCAACGAUGCAUAGCCGACCUGAGAGGGUGAUCGGCCACACUGGAACUGAGACACGGUCCAGACUCCUACGGGAGGCAGCAGUAGGGAAUCUUCCGCAAUGGGCGAAAGCCUGACGGAGCAACGCCGCGUGAGUGAUGAAGGUCUUCGGAUCGUAAAACUCUGUUAUUAGGGAAGAACAUAUGUGUAAGUAACUGUGCACAUCUUGACGGUACCUAAUCAGAAAGCCACGGCUAACUACGUG